UACGUAGGGUGCGAGCGUUGUCCGGAAUUAUUGGGCGUAAAGAGCUCGUAGGCGGCUUGUCGCGUCGACUGUGAAAACCCGAGGCUUAACCUCGGGCCUGCAGUCGAUACGGGCAGACUAGAGUUCGGUAGGGGAGACUGGAAUUCCUGGUGUAGCGGUGAAAUGCGCAGAUAUCAGGAGGAACACCGGUGGCGAAGGCGGGUCUCUGGGCCGAUACUGACGCUGAGGAGCGAAAGCGUGGGGAGCGAACAGG
rnacentral:rRNA from 1 species